rnacentral:lncRNA from 1 species
GUGCUAAAGAUAUCGGACUUAUCCAUAAUCGUUUUUGUAGAUUUGUGUUAAAAUUGGGUCGAAAUGUACCAACAUGCUUUUUAUAUGGCGAACUUAGCCAUUUACCUCUUUUUAUUGUUAGAAAACAAAAGAUAUUGAAAUAUUGGUUACAUAUUAUUACAAAUAAACCAAAAGUUGUAUACGAUGUGUAUAAACUCUUGUAUGACGAUGCUAUCAAUGGUUAUGUAAACUGGGCCUCAAAUAUUCGUGAUAUGUUAUAUGAUCUUGGUUUAAAUUAUUUAUGGCUAAACCAAGAUGCUAGCACAAUUUGUAUAAAUAACAU